rnacentral:lncRNA from 1 species
GCCUUUGGUCUGGCUCUCCCCAUCGCUGGGUUCAGUGCCUGACUGAAUGGAAAACCCGUCGUCUUGCAGCCACUAACCUGUGAGCGCCGGGUACCUGGAGACCAGGCCCCUCUGCUGGGGGCCCCCAGGAGCGGUGCCCCAUCAUUUUGCAGCCCACUGACUCCCAGCCUGGUGUGAAAACUGAGGCCCGGAGAGGUGAUGUGAUUUGCCUAAAGUCAUGCAACUAGUGGCAGAGCCAGGCCUAGACGCCAGGUGUCCUGGCUCUCAAGACAUUCCGCUGCCCGAGGAAUGGAACAGAAAGGGGAGAGACAAGACCUUACUCUCUGUGGCCCAGGUUGGAGUACAGUGGCACCAUCUUGGCUCACUGCAACCUCCGCCUCCCAGGCUCAAGUGAUCCUACCACCUCAGCCUCCCAAGUAGCUGGGAUUACAGGCACGCACCACAAUGCCCGGUGAAUUUUGUUUAUUUUUUAGUAGAGAUGAAGUCUCACUUUAUUGCCCAAGCUGGUCUCAAACUCCUGGACUCAAGCGAUCUGCCUGCCUUGGCCUCCCAAAGUGCUGGGAUUCUGGGUGUGAACCACCGUGCGCAGCCACAUUGUAUUAUUCAGCACAAUGAUCUAUUGCCCAAGCACUCUGAAAAUGUCUUAAAUUCUGGUGCCACUACCAACUAUCUGGUGCCCUUGGGCGAGUCACUCCAUCUCUCUGUGCCUCGGUUUGCUCAUCAGUAAAAUGGG